AUUGAACGCUGGCGGAAUGCUUUACACAUGCAAGUCGAACGGCAGCACGGACGUCGGUCUGGUGGCGAGUGGCGAACGGGUGAGUAAUGUAUCGGAACGUGCCCAGUCGUGGGGGAUAACGUAGUGAAAAUUACGCUAAUACCGCAUACGAUCUAUGGAUGAAAGCGGGGGAUCGCAAGACCUCGCGCGAUUGGAGCGGCCGAUAUCAGUUUAGGUAGUUGGUGGGGUAAAGGCCCACCAAGCCAACGAUCUGUAGCUGGUCUGAGAGGACGACCAGCCACACUGGAACUGAGACACGGUCCAGACUCCUACGGGAGGCAGCAGUGGGGAAUUUUGGACAAUGGGCGAAAGCCUGAUCCAGCCAUUCCGCGUGCAGGAUGAAGGCCCUCGGGUUGUAAACUGCUUUUGUACAGAACGAAAAGGUUUCUACUAAUACUAGGAGCUCAUGACGGUACUGUAAGAAUAAGCACCGGCUAACUACGUGCCAGCCGCCGCGGUAA
rnacentral:rRNA from 1 species